rnacentral:pre_miRNA from 1 species
CUCCCAACUGUUCUGAACUCCAGUUCCAGGUGAGACUCUGGGGACCCAGACUCAUACGGGGAGAAACUGGACUGUCUGGCAGCAGGCGAAA